ACUGUGGAGGUGGGGGUCUCUCAGCCAGGAUUGCGAGAGGGCGUAGGCUAGACUGAGGGACCCCACUGGUGCAUG
rnacentral:pre_miRNA from 1 species